AUUGAACGCUGGCGGCAGGCUUAACACAUGCAAGUCGAGCGGAGAUGAGGUGCUUGCACCUUAUCUUAGCGGCGGACGGGUGAGUAAUGCUUAGGAAUCUGCCAUUUAGUGGGGGACAACAUUCCGAAAGGAAUGCUAAUACCGCAUACGUCCUACGGGAGAAAGCAGGGGAUCUUCGGACCUUGCGCUAAAUGAUGAGCCUAAGUCGGAUUAGCUAGUUGGUGGGGUAAAGGCCUACCAAGGCGACGAUCUGUAGCGGGUCUGAGAGGAUGAUCCGCCACACUGGGACUGUGACACGGCCCAGACUCCUACGGGAGUCAGCAGUGGGUAAUAUUGGACAAUAGGCGGAAGCCUGAUCAAGCCAUGCCGCGUGUGUGAAGAAGGCCUUUUGGUUGUAAAGCACUUUAAGCGAGGAGGAGGCUACUAGUACUAAUACUACUGGAUAGUGGACGUUACUCGCAGAAUAAGCACCGGCUAACUCUGUGCCAGCCGCCGCCGUAAAAC
rnacentral:rRNA from 1 species